UUUAAUCCUCUGUUGCUGCGAUUGAUUCAGAGAAGUAGGUUGCUGAUUUGAUAAAUAUUGUAACUGUUGUUCUAAUUCCAUUGCCUUCUGCUUGUUAUGGGAGAAAACCUGGCGACUCCACCGAGAUAAAGCAAUGACGACUGCACGAAGUUUGAUUGGGAGAGGAGAUUCCCUUCGAGAGAUAGAAUUCCAGGAGGACUCGAUCACUGAUUGACAGCUAGGAUCCUGGUUCCAGAAAGCCUCAAAGGUAGGGCUGUCACUUGGGCAUUGGGGUAAGAGACACGCCAUUCAGAAGUACAUACAGCUCGAUCCAAGCGUUCCUUGACCAAGGCUUCGGCAUCUCUAUUGUUUGACCACGUAAAGGCACAACCAUGAGAGGGCAAAUCCAUCAAUCUGCAGUCAUUGAGGACUUCUCUAAAAGAAGAAAGGCGACUGCAGGGGCAUGAAUACAAGAAAUCCGCAUUGAUCUGGCUUCAGAGGUGUCAAAACAGGUAAAAUCCAGAAGAUGCGGAGAGGAAAAGAAAUCUGACAGAGAGAGCCCUGCAUUCCAAAAAAGAGCUAAACCACCAGCUAAUCCAACAGGGGUGACUAGCUUGUGAUGCAAAAAACCCGAAGACCUUUUCAACCGAAGGAGAACUUCAUCAGCAUUUUUCGUCUCCAUCAAAAAUAAGAGGGCCAGCCACCGUCGCCCGGAAUACUUCUUCAGACGCCUCCAAAAUUGGCGUGUCCAACAAAAGCGAGUCAUCAUAGCCCCCCGAAUAUCCUUCUGGGAUUAAAGCAGUGGUUAAGGUUCGUGGCUCGGUGGGAGGUAUGGUUGAUGAAUCAGUUGUGUUCUGAUUUGAGAAGGGAAUGACAGGGUG